rnacentral:rRNA from 1 species
AACGAACGCUGGCGGCAGGCCUAACACAUGCAAGUCGAGCGAGAUCUUCGGGUCUAGCGGCGGACGGGUGAGUAACGCGUGGGAAUAUGCCCUUCUCUGCGGAAUAGCCUCGGGAAACUGAGCGUAAUACCGCAUACGCCCUUUGGGGGAAAGAUUUAUCGGAGAAGGAUUAGCCCGCGUUGGAUUAGGUAGUUGGUGGGGUAACGGCCUACCAAGCCGACGAUCCAUAGCUGGUUUGAGAGGAUGAUCAGCCACACUGGGACUGAGACACGGCCCAGACCCAGCGGGGGGGAGGAGGGGGGAAAUUUAAACAAAGGGGGACACCAUGUAUAUACCCAGGCGGGGGGAGGGAGGAAGCCUUUGGGGUUGAAAACCUCUUCGAGCUGGAAAGAAAAGGCGGGCCCCAAAAAAAAAGCCCCGGACUACCCCGGUC